rnacentral:sRNA from 1 species
UCAGAUACAAAUACUGGCACACGACGUCCC